UACGUAGGGACCGAGCGUUGUCCGGAAUCAUUGGGCGUAAAGAGCGUGUAGGCGGCCUGUUAAGUCUUGCGUGAAAUCUCGGGGCUCAACCCCGAGCGGUCGUGAGAAACUGGCAGGCUAGAGUGCGGGAGAGGAGAGUGGAAUUCCUGGUGUAGCGGUGAAAUGCGCAGAUAUCAGGAAGAACACCCCGUGGCGAAGGCGGCUCUCUGGAACGCAACUGACGCUGAGGCGCGAAAGCUAGGGGAGCAAACAGG
rnacentral:rRNA from 1 species